rnacentral:piRNA from 1 species
UGGGAAAACCCACAAAGGCCUAACCGAGC